rnacentral:rRNA from 1 species
CCCAAACCAAUAAAGUUUUCUUUAUUGGGGUUGCGGACAUAUCAUAACGAAGAGGUAUCGUAAUUGAAGAGGUUUGGAAAGACCCACCACAGAAGGUAAUAGUCCUGUAUGUUAAACGAGAAGACUUCAGAUAUGAUCCAGAGUACCACGGGACACGUGAAACCCUGUGGGAAGCAGGAGGGACCACCCUCCAAGGCUAAAUACUACCUAGUGACCGAUAGCGGAUAGUACCGUGAGGGAAAGGUGAAAAGAACCCCGGGAGGGGAGUGAAAUAGAACCUGAAACCCUGCACUUACAAGCUGUGGAAGCACAUUUCUUGUG